rnacentral:rRNA from 1 species
GACGAACGCUGGCGGCGUGCUUAACACAUGCAAGUCGAACGGAAAGGCCUUGCUUUUGUGGGGUGCUCGAGUGGCGAACGGGUGAGUAACACGUGAGUAACCUGCCCUUGACUUUGGGAUAACUUCAGGAAACUGGGGCUAAUACCGGAUAGGAGCUCCUGCUGCAUGGUGGGGGUUGGAAAGUUUCGGCGGUUGGGGAUGGACUCGCGGCUUAUCAGCUUGUUGGUGGGGUAGUGGCUUACCAAGGCUUUGACGGGUAGCCGGCCUGAGAGGGUGACCGGCCACAUUGGGACUGAGAUACGGCCCAGACUCCUACAGGAGGCAGCAGUGGGGAAUAUUGCACAAUGGGCGGAAGCCUGAUGCAGCAACGCCGCGUGCGGGAUGACGGCCUUCGGGUUGUAAACCGAUUUCGCCUGUGACGAAGCGUGAGUGACGGUAAUGGGUAAAGAAGCACCGGCUAACUACGUG